AUAGUUGUCUUGGCAUUCUGGUCACCUCC
rnacentral:sRNA from 1 species